rnacentral:rRNA from 1 species
UGGUGGGUAGUUUGACUGGGGCGGUCUCCUCCUAAAGAGUAACGGAGGAGCACGAAGGUUGGCUAAUCCUGGUCGGACAUCAGGAGGUUAGUGCAAUGGCAUAAGCCAGCUUGACUGCGAGCGUGACGGCGCGAGCAGGUGCGAAAGCAGGUCAUAGUGAUCCGGUGGUUCUGAAUGGAAGGGCCAUCGCUCAACGGAUAAAAGGUACUCCGGGGAUAACAGGCUGAUACCGCCCAAGAGUUCAUAUCGACGGCGGUGUUUGGCACCUCGAUGUCGGCUCAUCACAUCCUGGGGCUGAAGUAGGUCCCAAGGGUAUGGCUGUUCGCCAUUUAAAGUGGUACGCGAGCUGGGUUUAGAACGUCGUGAGACAGUUCGGUCCCUAUCUGCCGUGGGCGCUGGAGAACUGAGGGGGGCUGCUCCUAGUACGAGAGGACCGGAGUGGACGCAUCACUGGUGUUCGGGUUGUCAUGCCAAUGGCACUGCCCGGUAGCUAAAUGCGGAAGAGAUAAGUGCUGAAAGCAUCUAAGCACGAAACUUGCCCCGAGAUGAGUUCUCCCUGACCCUUUAAGGGUCCUGAAGGAACGUUGAAGACGACGACGUUGAUAGGCCGGGUGUGUAAGCGCAGCGA